UUUCAACUGCUGUCAAGUUUUACCAAUCCUGCAAAAUAGACGCUUGUGCUUAUAACAAGGACAAAGGAUUAAAGAAACAAGUUAUAUGUCGUUCGUUUGAAGCAUUCGCCCAGAAUUGUGAAGCAAUUGGCGUUUUAGUAAACUGGAGGAAAGCACUUAAAUGUAAAUUACAGUGCCGUAAAAAUAUGGUGUAUAAGUUCUCCACUCCUAUAUAUCAACCAUCAUGCUAUAAUAGAAGAGUCCCUCGCAUUGGAAAAUUUACAGAAGCCUGUGUAUGCAAAAAGGGGUUCAUACUUAGUGGAACAGAAUGUGUUCGAGUCUCAUCUUGUGGCUGUAAAUACAAGGGAUUAUACAUAAAACGAGGUUCAAGCUUCCUGUUGAACGAUUGCUCAAGGAGAAUUUCAUGCAGGAACAAUGGCAGAAUUAAAGCGUCAAGACCUUGUCCUAAAUUUUCUGUGUGUCAAGCGGUAAAUGGAAAUCGCGUGUGUAAAUGUAAGAAAGGAGAUGUUAUCAAGAGGGGAAAAU